AUUGAACGCUGGCGGCAUGCCUUACGCAUGCAAGUCGAACGGUAACGGGCCUUCGGUGCGACGAGUGGCGAACGGGUGAGUAAUGCAUCGGAACGUACCUUUCAGUGGGGGAUAACGUAGCGAAAGUUACGCUAAUACCGCAUAUUCUGUGAGCAGGAAAGCAGGGGAUCGCAAGACCUUGCGCUGAUUGAGCGGCCGAUGUCAGAUUAGCUAGUUGGUGAGGUAAAGGCUCACCAAGGCGACGAUCUGUAGCGGGUCUGAGAGGAUGAUCCGCCACACUGGAACUGAGACACGGUCCAGACUCCUACGGGAGGCAGCAGUGGGGAAUUUUGGACAAUGGGGGCAACCCUGAUCCAGCCAUGCCGCGUGAGUGAAGAAGGCC
rnacentral:rRNA from 1 species